rnacentral:snRNA from 1 species
UGUGAGGGUGCCCUGGCUAGGACUGCUGUCCACCACUGAGCCCCAGGGUUGAUUGGGUUGAUCUAGUUGGGAGGGUGUCCCCUUCCUCCCUCAUCAA